rnacentral:rRNA from 1 species
AACGAACGCUGGCGGCAGGCUUAACACAUGCAAGUCGAACGCAUCGUAAGAUGAGUGGCAGACGGGUGAGUAACGCGUGGGAACAUACCCUUUUCUACGGAAUAGCUCUGGGAAACUGGAAUGAAUACCGUAUACGCCCUACGGGGGAAAGAUUUAUCGGGGAAGGAUUGGCCCGCGUUGGAUUAGCUAGUUGGUGGGGUAAAGGCCUACCAAGGCGACGAUCCAUAGCUGGUCUGAGAGGAUGAUCAGCCACAUUGGGACUGAGACACGGCCCAAACUCCUACGGGAGGCAGCAGUGGGGAAUAUUGGACAAUGGGCGCAAGCCUGAUCCAGCCAUGCCGCGUGAGUGAUGAAGGCCUUAGGGUUGUAAAGCUCUUUCACCGAUGAAGAUAAUGACGGUAGUCGGAGAAGAAGCCCCGGCUAACUUCGUGCCAGCCGCCGCAGUAAUAC